rnacentral:rRNA from 1 species
GAUGAACGCUGGCGGCGUGCCUAAUACAUGCAAGUCGAGCGAAUGGAUUAAGAGCUUGCUCUUAUGAAGUUAGCGGCGGACGGGUGAGUAACACGUGGGUAACCUGCCCAUAAGACUGGGAUAACUCCGGGAAACCGGGGCUAAUACCGGAUAACAUUUUGAACCGCAUGGUUCGAAAUUGAAAGGCGGCUUCGGCUGUCACUUAUGGAUGGACCCGCGUGGCAUUAGCUAGUUGGUGAGGUAACGGCUCACCAAGGCAACGAUGCGUAGCCGACCGGAGAGGGUGAUCGGCCGAGCUGGGACGGAGACACGGCCCAGACUCCUGCGGGAGGCAGCAGUAAGGAAUCUUCCGCAAUUGACGAAAGUCUGACGGAGCAACGCAGCGGGUGUUAUGAAGGCGUUCGGGUCGUAAAACUCUGUUGUUAGGGAAGAGCAAGUGCUAGUUGAAUAAGCUGGCACCUUGACGGUACCUAACCAGAAAGCCACGGCUAACUACGUGCCAGCCGCCGCGGUAA